rnacentral:rRNA from 1 species
AUGGCCGCGGCAGCCGCCGCCGCGCCUGACGCCCAGAGGUGGACCAGAUCUGGCGGUCCGUCAUCUCCGGUGACCGCCACCGCGGUCUUCCUCUUCGUAUUCGUUGUCGUGGUCGGCGUCCUCGUCUCCGGCCGCUGGAUAACCACCACCACUAAUUUGGCAGACACCAAUCUAGAUCGGUGGCGCACAAACCCGGUAGAUUCAAUCUCCGUCCAUGCAGGCGAUCCUGAAUUCCUGACCGCCACGCAUUCCACCUCCAUCCCUGCCACCCCUGCUGUGCCGCCGCCGCCGCUCCCCACAUACUCCCUCUCCUGCUCGGCGCCAGGCGCUGGUGACCCUGACAUCCCAAGCAACAUCUCUCAGACUCUGUCCCUCGCACUCUCCUCAAACGCAACAUGCGCCACUGUCUCCGAGACACAGCUGGUUCCCCCCAUUGCUGCCGCCAACACCUCCUGCCCCGCCUACUUCCGCUUCAUCCACGAGGACCUCCACCCGUGGCGCGCGGCGGGGGGCAUCACCCGCACGAUGCUUGACCGUGCGCGCACCACAGCCAACUUCCGCCUCGUCGUGCUCCAUGGCCGUGCCUACAUCGAGCGCAUCGCGCCGGCCUUCCAGACGCGUGACCUCUUCACCAUCUGGGGCAUCCUCCAACUGCUCCGCCGCUACCCUGGUCGCAUCCCCGAUCUCGACCUCAUGUUCAACUGUGUGGACUGGCCGGUUGUCCACCCUGACAAGUACCAGGGGGAGAACGCAACCGUCUUGCCGCCGCUUUUCCGGUACUGCGGCGACAAUGAGACACUCGACAUAGUUUUCCCGGACUGGUCUUUCUGGGGCUGGGCUGAGAUCAAUAUAAAGCCCUGGGAUGCGCUGCAAAAGGAUCUGGAUGCUGGCAAUAGGAAGGUGGGAUGGAUAGAUAGAGAGCCUUAUGCUUAUUGGAAAGGGAAUCCAGAGGUCGCAGCUAUAAGGCAAGAGCUGGUUAAGUGUAAUGUUUCCAGUGAGCAAGAAUGGAAUGCACGGAUUUACAAACAGGAUUGGGUCAAAGAGAGCAAGGCUGGAUACAAAAAAUCAGAUUUGGCCAGUCAAUGCACCCACAGGUACAAGAUCUACAUCGAAGGAUCAGCGUGGUCAGUUAGCAAGAAGUAUAUCCUAGCUUGUGAUUCAAUGACGCUGGUGAUUAACCCAAAAUAUUAUGAUUUCUUUUCAAGGGUGCUGAUGCCCACUCAGCACUAUUGGCCUGUUCGAGAUGACAGUAAAUGUAACUCCAUAAAGUAUGCUGUUGAUUGGGGAAAUUCUCACAAGAAAAAGGCACAGAAAAUAGGGAAGGAGGGAAGCAAGUUCAUUCAACAAGAACUUAGUAUGGAAUAUGUAUACGAUUACAUGUUUCACCUCUUAACGGAAUACGCUAAGCUCCUAAGAUUCAAGCCAACCAAGCCUCCUGAAGCUGUUGAGGUCUGUCCCGAAUCUUUGGCCUGCCAAGCCAUAGGCAGGGAGAAGAAGUUCAUGGAGGACUCCAUGGUGAAGUCUGCAAACGUCGCUGGUCCGUGCAAUCUGCCUCCUCCCUUUAGCCCUGAGGAAUUCAGAGAGCUACACCAGAGGAAAGAAAAGUCGAUGAACCAGGUCGAAAUGCUGGAGCGAAAUGCUUCAAAGCCCGAGGAGAGAAAUGCUUCAAAGCCUGAGGAUAGCAAUCGCUGA